CCUGCGUGGUAUUAAAGUGAGCCUGUAUAUAGGAAAGUUGCAUUUGCCAUUUAUUGCUUAGCUAAUAAAAGUACAUAGAGUACAAUCAGUGACUCAGUGUUUUAACUUGUUCUGAUACCAGAUUCGAAUUGACGCAACCCUAACAGUAACUAGCUAGUUUAGCUAGCUAAUCGUUUCAGGACCGCACAUCAGAGAGGACAGGACGUUAUUUGUUUACUCCAGGAUAGUGAGAUGAGGGUGAAGUCCAGGCACCAAAAGAAAGUACUAUCCGGUGAAACACUUCCGUUUUCUCUGUGCUAUGGUUUUUGACCUUCUUCAAUUGGAUGAUGGCCUCCUCCUGCAUGACACCUGUGCUACAUGCUGCUUCCUGUAUGCUUGUGAGGAAGACUCCUUCCGCCACCUCUGUCACCUGAGCCGCCUCCUGUAUGCUUCUGAGGAAGCCUUCUGCCAUCUGUCACCUGACAGACCACCUCCUGCAGACCACCUGAACUAAAUUCAGUAUCUGCUGCUUCCUCUGCUGGAGCUGGGACUACGCUCUCCUUCACUCUCUUGUUCUCUCUUUCUCAUGUUAAACUCCUACGUCUUCUUCCCUAUCCUCUACUUAAAAAAUAGACAAUUCAAGACUUUAAACAUGUUGAUAUAAAACAAUAACGAUGCAC
ensembl:lncRNA